rnacentral:rRNA from 1 species
AGAGUUUGAUCAUGGCUCAGAUUGAACGCUGGCGGCAUGCUUAAUACAUGCAAGUCGAACGGUAACAGAUUCUUCGGAAUGCUGACGAGUGGCGGACGGGUGAGUAAUACAUAGGAAUCUGCCCAUGUAGUGGGGGACAACUUGGGGAAACUCAAGCUAAUACCGCAUAAUUCCUACGGGAUAAAGAGGGCCACUGCUUGCAAGCUCUUGCUACUGGAUGAGCCUAUGUCGGAUUAGUUAGUUGGUAAGGUAAUGGCUUACCAAGACAGCGAUCCGUAGCUGGUUUGAGAGGAUGAUCAGCCACACUGGGACUGAGACACGGCCCAGACUCCUACGGGAGGCAGCAGUAGGGAGUAUUGGACAAUGGGCGCAAGCCUGAUCCAGCAAUGCCGCGUGUGUGAAGAAGGCCUGCGGGUUGUAAAGCACUUUCAAUUGGGAAGAAAGAUUAUGAGUUAAUACCUUAUAAUAUUGACGUCACCAAUACAAGAAGCACCGGCUAACUCUGUGCCAGCAGCCGCGGUAAUACAGAGGGUGCGAGCGUUAAUCGGAAUUACUGGGCGUAAAGAGUACGUAGGUGGUUAAAUCAGUCGGAUGUGAAAGUCCCAGGCUUAACUUGGGAAUUGCAUUCGAUACUAUUUGACUAGAGUACGGUAGAGAGAAGUGGAAUUCCUAGUGUAGCGGUGAAAUGCGUAGAUAUUAGGAAGAACACCAGUGGCGAAGGCGGCUUCUUGGAUCGAUACUGACACUGAGGUACGAAAGCGUGGGGAGCAAACAGGAUUAGAUACCCUGGUAGUCCACGCCCUAAACGAUGAGAACU